AUUGAACGCUGGCGGCAUGCUUUACACAUGCAAGUCGAACGGUAACAGCACUUCGGUGGCUGACGAGUGGCGCACGGGUGAGUAAUACAUCGGAACGUGCCUAGUAGUGGGGGAUAACUACUCGAAAGAGUAGCUAAUACCGCAUGAGAUCUAAGGAUGACAUCAGGGGACCUUCGGGCCUUGCGCUACUAGAGCGGCUGAUGGCAGAUUAGGUAGUUGGUGGGAUAAAAGCUUACCAAGCCGACGAUCUGUAGCUGGUCUGAGAGGACGACCAGCCACACUGGGACUGAGACACGGCCCAGACUCCUACGGGAGGCAGCAGUGGGGAAUUUUGGACAAUGGGCGCAAGCCUGAUCCAGCAAUGCCGCGUGCAGGAUGAAGGCCUUCGGGUUGUAAACUGCUUUUGUACGGAACGAAAAGCCCUCUUCUAAUACAGGAGGGUCAUGACGGUACCGUAAGAAUAAGCACCGGCUAACUACGUG
rnacentral:rRNA from 1 species